rnacentral:rRNA from 1 species
UACGUAGGGUGCAAGCGUUAAUCGGAAUUACUGGGCGUAAAGCGUGCGCAGGCGGUUUUGUAAGUCUGACGUGAAAUCCCCGGGCUCAACCUGGGAAUUGCGUUGGAGACUGCAAGGCUGGAGUCUGGCAGAGGGGGGUAGAAUUCCACGCGUAGCAGUGAAAUGCGUAGAGAUGUGGAGGAAUACCGAUGGCGAAGGCAGCCCCCUGGGAUAACACUGACGCUCAUGCACGAAAGCGUGGGGAGCAAACAGG